UACGAAGGGGGCUAGCGUUGUUCGGAAUCACUGGGCGUAAAGCGUGCGUAGGCUGUUUUGUAAGUUGGAAGUGAAAGCCCAGGGCUUAACCCUGGAAUUGCUUUCAAAACUACAAGACUUGAAUCCCGGAGAGGAUAGCGGAAUUGUCAGUGUAGCAGUGAAAUGCGUAGAUAUUGACAGGAACACCAGUGGCGUAAGCGGCUAUCUGGACGUGUAUUGACGCUGAGGCACGAAAGCGUGGGGAGCAAACAGG
rnacentral:rRNA from 1 species